rnacentral:rRNA from 1 species
GGGGAAUAUUGGACAAUGGGGGGAACCCUGAUCCAGCCAUGCCGCGUGUGUGAAGAAGGCCUUAUGGUUGUAAAGCACUUUAAGCGAGGAGGAGGGUACUGGUAUUAAUACUACCAGGUACUGGACGUUACUCGCAGAAUAAGCACCGGCUAACUCUGUGCCAGCAGCCGCGGUAAUACAGAGGGUGCGAGCGUUAAUCGGAUUUACUGGGCGUAAAGCGUGCGUAGGCGGCUAAUUGAGUCGGAUGUGAAAUCCCCGAGCUUAACUUGGGAAUUGCAUUCGAUACUGGUUAGCUAGAGUGUGGGAGAGGAUGGUAGAAUUCCAGGUGUAGCGGUGAAAUGCGUAGAGAUCUGGAGGAAUACCGAUGGCGAAGGCAGCCAUCUGGCCUAACACUGACGCUGAGGUACGAAAGCAUGGGGAGCAAAC